AUACAGAGGUCCCAAGCGUUGUUCGGAUUCAUUGGGCGUAAAGGGUGCGUAGGCGGUAGGGUAAGUUGGAUGUGAAAUCCCGGGGCUCAACCCCGGAACUGCAUUCAAUACUGCUCUGCUAGAGUACUGGAGAGGAGAUUGGAAUUCACGGUGUAGCAGUGAAAUGCGUAGAUAUCGUGAGGAAGACCAGUGGCGAAGGCGAAUCUCUGGACAGUAACUGACGCUGAGGCACGAAGGCCAGGGGAGC
rnacentral:rRNA from 1 species